AUUGAACGCUGGCGGCAUGCCUUACACAUGCAAGUCGAACGGUAACAGGUCUUCGGAUGCUGACGAGUGGCGAACGGGUGAGUAAUACAUCGGAACGUGCCCAGUCGUGGGGGAUAACGAAGCGAAAGCUUUGCUAAUACCGCAUACGAUCUACGGAUGAAAGCGGGGGAUAGCAAGACCUCGCGCGAUUGGAGCGGCCGAUGGCGGAUUAGGUAGUUGGUGGGGAAAAGGCUUACCAAGACUACGAUCUGUAGCUGGUCGGAGAGGACGAACGACCACACUGGGACUGGUACACGGGCCAGACUCCUACGGGAGGCAGCAGUGGGGAAUUUUGGACAAUGGGCGCAAGCCUGAUCCAGCAAUGCCGCGUGCAGGAUGAAGGCCUUCGGGUUGUAAACUGCUUUUGUACGGAGCGAAAAGCUCUGGGUUAAUACCCUGGGGUCAUGACGGUACCGUAAGAAUAAGCACCGGCUAACUACGUGCCAGCCGCCGCUGUAA
rnacentral:rRNA from 1 species